ensembl:lncRNA
AGGAGACCAAGUCUAUGUGAAAAACUGGUCAGUGGAACCAUUAAAGGGAACAUGGGACGGUCCUCGCCAGGUGAUAAUGACCACUUAUACGGCGGUGAAAGUCGAGGGAAUCGACAAUUGGAUCCAUUACACCCGAGUCAAGAAGGUUCCAGUCUCAUGGUCGGUAGAACCUCUCUCACCUACAAAGAUGGUAUUUCGAGCCAACAAUUGAAGAUUGUGGUAUUCCUGGGGUUGAUAAGUUUAGCAGAAACCACCGUGAGAAUUGAAACCCCAGAUCCUUAUUUGUUUGUACCAGAACACACUGAUGUAAACUUAACUUGUCUGUUUUCAGAUGACCAGGGAGCUGAAUUAAGAGAUGUCCACGUCAAGUGGAGACGGAGGGAUCAAGAUCGAAUCAUAACAGAAGGAGUGACAACAGUUUGGGAUGCGACACAACAAAAGGGUUAUACCGUCCUGCAGGUACCUGAGGUGUCUAAAACCGUAGAAGGGACAUACAUGUGUGUAGUUUGGAUUCAAAGGAGUUUUGAUUAUGGGUAUGUAGAAAUACACAUGAUAAACACAACUCGGGAAAUAAUGACUAAGGUACAAGUUAUACCCCCUAGGAAAACUCGACAUGUGAGAGAUCUGCAGAUUCCGAAUAGAGAAAUAGAACAGGAAAAUUUAAUUGUGGGCCUAAUUCGAGAUUUUGGGAAAGUACAAAACGUUACUAAAAUUACUGCAUGUCUCCCUAUGCCUCAUGCAGCAGGAGACCCAAUUCCAUGGGGAAUAAUUUCAGUGCCAGAAAUACCCAAAAUGUUUAAGAAUAUUACAAGGAAUUGCAAAUUUGUAACCAUCACAUGGAGCGAAACGGUAGAUGUAUGUUUAUUAAGUGAUAAAAUGAUGAAGAAGCAAUGUGAACAGAUGCCGGGAUAUUUCCGAUGGGUAGUAAUUGGGACAUGGGUAACAAGUGAAACAAUUAAUGAAUUAAAAGGAUACUGUUUAGUUACAAAUUCAACACACCCAUGCUCUAAAGUUCCGGCUUCAGUAAAACGAGAAAAACAAGAAGAGGUCUGUCAAAAUAUUACCAGUUCUACAACCAUGGAAGAAUGGCAAACAAUUUGGGGACCCAGCCUGCUAGAGACAUAUAGUUAUAUUGGAAAGGUACAGUGGUGCAUUCACUGGAAGGGGAAAAAGAAUCAAACUUAUUCUACAGGAAAUAGAGGGAAUCAUAAUUGGAGGACAGAAACACAUACAAAAGAGGAUUGGAAUUGUACCCGAAUAUAUACAUGUGAUACCCCAG